GCUGGGCAUGGUGGUGUGUGCCUGUAGUCCCAGCUACUCGGGAGGCUGAGGCAGGAGAAUUGCUUGAACCCAGAGGUGGAGGUUGUGGUGAGCUGAGAUCGUACCAUUGCACUCCAGUCUGGGUAACAAGAGCGAAACUCCGUCUCAAAAAAAAAAAAAAAAUUUUUUUUUUUUGAGACAGAAUUUAACUCUGUUGCCCAGGCUAGAGUGCAGUGGUGCGAUUGCAGCUCACCGCAGUCUCUGCCUCCUGGGUUCAAGCAAUUCUCCUGCUUCAG
rnacentral:SRP_RNA from 13 species